GCCUUCGUGGUGUAGUGGUCAGCUCAUUGGACACGUAUUCCAUAGGUCCGGGGUUCGAUUCCCGGCGAAUGCA
rnacentral:tRNA from 1 species